AGUGAACGCUGGCGGUAGGCCUAACACAUGCAAGUCGAACGGCAGCACAGUAAGAGCUCGCUCUUACGGGUGGCGAGUGGCGGACGGGUGAGGAAUACAUCGGAAUCUACUUUUUCGUGGGGGAUAACGUAGGGAAACUUACGCUAAUACCGCAUACGACCUACGGGUGAAAGCAGGGGAUCUUCGGACCUUGCGCGACUGAAUGAGCCGAUGUCGGAUUAGCUAGUUGGCGGGGUAAAGGCCCACCAAGGCGACGAUCCGUAGCUGGUCUGAGAGGAUGAUCAGCCACACUGGAACUGAGACACGGUCCAGACUCCUACGGGAGGCAGCAGUGGGGAAUAUUGGACAAUGGGCGCAAGCCUGAUCCAGCCAUACCGCGUGGGUGAAGAAGGCCUUCGGGUUGUAAAGCCCUUUUGUUGGGAAAGAAAAGCAGCAGGUUAAUACCCCGCUGUUCUGACGGUACCCAAAGAAUAAGCACCGGCUAACUUCGUG
rnacentral:rRNA from 1 species